rnacentral:rRNA from 1 species
CGGAGCUUGCUCUGUGGGAUCAGUGGCGAACGGGUGAGUAACACGUGAGCAACCUGCCCCUGACUCUGGGAUAAGCGCUGGAAACGGCGUCUAAUACUGGAUAUGUGACGUGACCGCAUGGUCUGCGUUUGGAAAGAUUUUUCGGUUGGGGAUGGGCUCGCGGCCUAUCAGCUUGUUGGUGAGGUAAUGGCUCACCAAGGCGUCGACGGGUAGCCGGCCUGAGAGGGUGACCGGCCACACUGGGACUGAGACACGGCCCAGACUCCUACGGGAGGCAGCAGUGGGGAAUAUUGCACAAUGGGCGCAAGCCUGAUGCAGCAACGCCGCGUGAGGGAUGACGGCCUUCGGGUUGUAAACCUCUUUUAGCAGGGAAGAAGCGAAAGUGACGGUACCUGCAGAAAAAGCGCCGGCUAACUACGUGCCAGCAGCCGCGGUAAUACGUAGGGCGCAAGCGUUAUCCGGAAUUAUUGGGCGUAAAGAGCUCGUAGGCGGUUUGUCGGUCUGCUGUGAAAUCCCGAGGCUCAACCUCGGGCCUGCAGUGGGUACGGGCAGACUAGAGUGCGGUAGGGGAGAUUGGAAUUCCUGGUGUAGCGGUGGAAUGCGCAGAUAUCAGGAGGAACACCGAUGGCGAAGGCAGAUCUCUGGGCCGUAACUGACGCUGAGGAGCGAAAGGGUGGGGAGCAAACAGGCUUAGAUACCCUGGUAGUCCACCCCGUAAACGUUGGGAACUAGUUGUGGGGUCCAUUCCACGGAUUCCGUGACGCAGCUAACGCAUUAAGUUCCCCGCCUGGGGAGUACGGCCGCAAGGCUAAAACUCAAAGGAAUUGACGGGGACCCGCACAAGCGGCGGAGCAUGCGGAUUAAUUCGAUGCAACGCGAAGAACCUUACCAAGGCUUGACAUAUACGAGAACGGGCCAGAAAUGGUCAACUCUUUGGACACUCGUAAACAGGUGGUGCAUGGUUGUCGUCAGCUCGUGUCGUGAGAUGUUGGGUUAAGUCCCGCAACGAGCGCAACCCUCGUUCUAUGUUGCCAGCACGUAAUGGUGGGAACUCAUGGGAUACUGCCGGGGUCAACUCGGAGGAAGGUGGGGAUGACGUCAAAUCAUCAUGCCCCUUAUGUCUUGGGCUUCACGCAUGCUACAAUGGCCGGUACAAAGGGGUGCAAUACCGUGAGGUGGAGCGAAUCCCAAAAAGCCGGUCCCAGUUCGGAUUGAGGUCUGCAACUCGACCUCAUGAAGUCGGAGUCGCUAGUAAUCGCAGAUCAGCAACGCUGCGGUGAAUACUUCCCGGGUCUUGUACACCCCGCCCGUCAAGUCAUGAAAGUCGGUAACACCUGAAG